rnacentral:lncRNA from 1 species
AGAGAACCUCUCACCUCAGCUCCCAGAAUUGCUAGGACUACAGCCAUUUCCAGCUUCUGGUAAUCAUUCUAUUCUCUACUUCAAUGAGAUCAACUUCUGUGGCUCCCACAUAUGCCUGAGAACAGAUGCUGGUUACGUGAGUGUGCUCACUUUGAUUUGUGUGUGUUCCUGUACGUUAUACUUCAAUACAUUUUAUUGACAACUCCGGUUGGUGACACAGAUAUAAUUAUGCAUAAAAUAAAACAAAUAAAAUACGUACCCCACAACAAACA